CUCCCUGCAGAUCCCCGAGCAAGCCUCUGCCAAGGACCUUGACCUAGCAGGGACUUGGUCGCCACGUUUAGCUCCCCCUGACCUGCUUUUGAACCCGCUAAUCCCACCCCAACUCUUUCCCCGACUACGUUCGCCACGCGCUAAUUCCCGCUGGUCCCGCAACCCCCACUACCUCUCAGCCGGCCCAGGAAGCUCUGAAGGGCACCACCAGGGCUCCACACCGUGUCCCCGAGUCAAGCCCGAGCUCCCCACCAAAAGAAACGGCCUCGACUACAAACAACUCUUCUCUUGGCUCCCCUUAAUUUAAUUCGUUUUUAUAAAAAAUAGCCAUACAAACAUCACAGUCUUCAGGAACGAAUCUGUCAAACUGGAGGUGCGGUGGAGCCUUGGUCACUGUGGCUGGCCAGCGACUAGGGCCUGGGAAGGGUAAGCCGGAAGCUGGUGGCCGGCCAAAGCCAGAAAGACUGGAAGACCGCAGACCCAA
ensembl:misc_RNA